rnacentral:rRNA from 1 species
GACGAACGCUGGCGGCGUGCUUAACACAUGCAAGUCGAACGGAAAGGCCCUGCUUUUGUGGGGUGCUCGAGUGGCGAACGGGUGAGUAACACGUGAGUAACCUGCCCUUGACUUUGGGAUAACUUCAGGAAACUGGGGCUAAUACCGGAUAGGAGCUCCUGCUGCAUGGUGGGGGUUGGAAAGUUUCGGCGGUUGGGGUUGGAUUCGCGGCUUAUCAGCUUGUUGGUGGGGUAGUGGCUUACCAAGGCUUUGACGGGUAGCCGGCCUGGGAGGGUGACCGGCCACAUUGGGACUGAGAUAGGGCCCAGACUCCUACGGGAGGCAGCAGUGGGGAAUAUUGCACAAUGGGCGGAAGCCUGAUGCAGCAACGCCGCGUGCGGGAUGACGGCCUUCGGGUUGUAAACCGCUUUCGCCUGUGACGAAGCGUGAGUGACGGUAAUGGGUAAAGAAGCACCGGCUAACUACGUG